rnacentral:rRNA from 1 species
ACGUACACUCCUACGGGAGGCAGCAGUGGGGAAUAUUGGACAAUGGGCACAAGCCUGAUCCAGCCAUGCCGCGUGAGUGAUGAAGGCCCUAGGGUUGUAAAGCUCUUUCACCGGUGAAGAUAAUGACGGUAACCGGAGAAGAAGCCCCGGCUAACUUCGUGCCAGCAGCCGCGGUAAUACGAAGGGGGCUAGCGUUGUUCGGAUUUACUGGGCGUAAAGCGCACGUAGGCGGACUAUUAAGUCAGGGGUGAAAUCCCGGGGCUCAACCCCGGAACUGCCUUUGAUACUGGUAGUCUUGAGUUCGAGAGAGGUGAGUGGAAUUCCGAGUGUAGAGGUGAAAUUCGUAGAUAUUCGGAGGAACACCAGUGGCGAAGGCGGCUCACUGGCUCGAUACUGACGCUGAGGUGCGAAAGCGUGGGGAGCAAACAGGAUUAGAUACCCCUGUAGUCCCAUGA